rnacentral:lncRNA from 1 species
UUUUUUUAAUUAUUAAAUGAUUGUUUUCCAUAAGAUCUUACUUCUAAUAUUGACCUAGGAUAUAUACUUAGGGAAUUACUAUGUAAUCUAGGAAUUAAAUUAAAACUAAUGAGAGAAAUUACAUACUGACUCAAAUGGCUUUCUUUAAAAAGGGAUGCCUUGAUUGUGCUGUUGCAGUGGAAGUUUGAUCUGGACAAAUGUGAUGACAUUUGUUGCACUUCUAGAUCGUAGAAUUGCUCAGGUUGGAAAAGACCUUAAAGAUCAUCGAGUCCAACCAUGACCUAACCAUACUACCCUAACUAACAACCCUCCGCUAAAUCAUGUCCCUGAGCACCACAUCCAAAAUAGGUAAUGUGCUUCUGAAGGAAAGUGGCACUACACCACAGUAAAAUCAUAAAUAAUAUCCAGGUUUACUUAAACUCAUGAAGCUAAUCUCAUCUAGGUGUUGCAUCAUAGCCUUCUGGUAUUCAAAAACAAACCAACAAAAACAAACCAGUGAAUGCCCUUGCCUUCCUCAUACGAGAAUUGUUAAUGUGAGAGCCAACCUGAUCUAAGAAGCUUCAAACGAGCAGUACCCUAGCUUCACUGGCCUCUGUAGUGAUGCUGAGCAGCUAGUGUUAAAGCAGCAUUGUAUGUUGUUGUUCUUGUCAGUUAGCAUUAGAAGCAGAAUUUUAGUGUUUCAACAAUCUGUUAAUGAUAUUGUUUUAUGAUUCAGUAAGAGUUGUCACUGCCUUUUGAGACAACAUCUUAAAAUUCUUUCUGCAUCGUAGCAUGACCCAGAAACAACUGAUGCAUCUGGAAAGAUAACGUAUUUCUGCUGUGUGCUCUUAAGUGACUGACAGGUUAGGGAUGUGCUUCAGGCAGACUUCUGGUAUCUAUGAUGCAUAGCUCUGUAUAAUAUAGGGAGGUACUUAAAUACUGUGAAAAAUAUAUGGAACAUGCCUCUUCUGAAUUUGAUUUGGUUACAAUCAUCAAGAAACAGUCUAGUCUGUAAAAAGUGAGUGCUAACUUGGGACUAAAUUUCAAGGCUGAUAUAGGCAAGGACACCUCCCACUAGACCAGAUUGCUCAAAGCCACAUCCAGCCUGGCCUUGAACACCUCCACAGAGGCGUUCACAACCUCACUGGGCAACCUGUUCCAGUGUCUUACCACCCUCACGUAGGAAAAUGGCAUGCACAGAAAAAUACUAUUGUACAAUUCUUGUUGUAUGUGACAAUGUGAUUCAUCUACUUGGAACUUCAGCAGCCCAGUUAGUCUUUAUCUUUCCUUUUUUGCUUUGGUAGCUUAAAUUUAUUAUUCAGUGCAAGUUUAGGUAAGUCAAAUAUUUUAAAAACACAUCUUGUGAUUUGAUUUAUGCAAGGCUAAUUGUGUCUGGUAUAUGUUUUUCGCAGAAAUUGCAAAAGCUCAUCUUAAAACUCAAAAUUAACUGUAGUUUUCAUUAUUAGUUUUUAAUUUUAAUUUUUUUUGACCCUUAAUUUAUUAUAAUUGGCAACCUUAUCAAGCUUCCAUGAUUCUCAUGAUUCCAAUAAGAGGCUGGAAAUACUUGUUCCAAAAAUAGGAAGACUGAAUUUAUUGCUGCUAGAGAAAAUAUUUAGGCAAACCUAUUUAGUUUAGUAACAGUAAAAUGAUUCAUAAGCUUCAAAAAUGGUUCCUGAAAUUUUACUUGGAUCAUCUCUGUGAAAGUAUGACAGGUGAGCUCAUAAAGGUCAGAGAAUAACAGAUAAUAAAUAACAUUGCUAGGGAGUUUUGAGAGCCUCAGAUCAUUAUUACUAUGUCUGGAGACUGUGAUUAAUAAGGAGAAAACUCUAUGUGAAGCCAUAGCAUUAGUGUUGAAAACAGAUCUCCAGUGUUACAUAGAUGCGUAUCUAUCUUGCAUAUAUAUCUCAAGAGCAUUAACGGACAAAAUUUUGCAGAGUGCUGCAUGUAGGCAGAACCUUAUACUUAUGACACUGAAGUCAGCACUUGGGCAUGAUGAAGUCUAUUCCACAGAACAAAUAAAACCAACUUUUUAGAGCUUUGCUUAUAUCUCUUUUACUAUGAUACCAAGGCCACACAGAAAUAAAGUUCUAUGGAAAAUUUAAGAAACUUUAGGACAUCACACUAGGCUUCUGAAGAAGUUUUUUGCUUUUUUUUUUUCUCCCCCAAAUGUUUUUUUACUGCUAGAAGAUUGUUGUCAUAAUUACAUAGGAUGAAAGUAACUCAGAUGAUGGUGUUCAGUGUUUUUACUAAAAUGUCUGCAUAUAUUUUCUGUGUAAAAGCAUUUUGUGGCAGUGCUCAUACAUUUAUUUAGUUAAAUAUACAUUUUCCCUGUACCAAAAAUCUCCAGCUCAUCUAUCUUAGCUCCAGAAUAAAAAAUAAAAAAUGAGGCUAACAGCAAUUUGUUGGUAUUGGCAUGCAGCAGUGUUUCUCCAGCUUUCUUUGUCCUUUCCUUUCAAGGAGAAGAUGCAGAGGCUUUUGGUUAUAAAGACAUAAUCUAAACAAGCAUGUAGUUUUAAGAGAUUAAAGGAUACAGUGACUGAGAUGGGACUGGACUGUAAAGAAGAGAGACAAUGAAAUAGUAAAUUACCAAAUCUAGGAGGAAAAGUAGGAUAAAAGCUGAAGCUGAUUUUUUUAGAGUUUCAAGUGACCUAUUAGCAAAGCAGAUGGAUAUAAAAUGAAAUGAGAACUAAUUGGGAUCUAAUAAGUACAGGAAAAAUCUGAAAUCUGGAAGGCAAAUCCUGUAUCACCCCAGGCAGUCACUGAUCCUUAGCAGCAUUUCUUACCAAAGAAAGUACAUUUCUGAGAACCCAAGAACAGUGUAACUUUUAGAAUGAUCAUUCACAUUUUUCAAUUAAAAAUUGAACAACCAAGUCCAAUUCUUAUUUAUGUUCUACUUGAUCACACAGAGAUAUGUAAAUUGUUCAUUUAUUGCUGGUGCCAUCCAGCCAUUGUAAGUUAAAUGCAAUGACGUCAGCUCCCAGUUCUGGGCGAAAUUUUCUAGCAGAGAUGCAAGACAGACUUUUUCAGGUAACUGUUGUUGGAUAGAGACCCACUAGAGCCAUUGGCAUCUCACGAGGAAGAGGCUACCGGUUUUCUCUUAGUGCUGCAAUGGGUGGUGGUAGCAGCCUUGGCAGGGCCAUGGCAAAGUGACAUGGAUAUGCUGUGUUGGCCUGGCAAGUACAGCUAGGGAGAUACUGCCUGUGUUUGGGUGUGAGUAGGUGGCAUAUGAAAGAAUUGGGACUGAGGGAGAAGCUGCUGCAGG